UACGAAGGGGCUAGCGUUGCUCGGAAUCACUGGGCGUAAAGGGUGCGUAGGCGGGUCUUUAAGUCAGGGUGAAAUCCUGGAGCUCAACUCCAGAACUGCCUUUGAUACUGAGGAUCUUGAGUACGGGAGAGGUGAGUGGAACUGCGAGUGUAGAGGUGAAAUUCGUAGAUAUUCGCAAGAACACCAGUGGCGAAGGCGGCUCACUGGCCCGGUACUGACGCUGAGGUGCGAAA
rnacentral:rRNA from 1 species